UAAGCAUAUCAAUAAGCGGAGGAAAAGAAACCAACAGGGAUUGCCUCAGUAACGGCGAGUGAAGCGGCAACAGCUCAAAUUUGAAAUCUGGCCUCACGGUCCGAGUUGUAAUUUGUAGAGGAUGCUUCGAGCAUGGUCUGGCCUAAGUUCCUUGGAACAGGACGUCAUAGAGGGUGAGAAUCCCGUAUGCGGCCAGGUGCCUACGCUCAUGUGAAGCUCCUUCGACGAGUCGAGUUGUUUGGGAAUGCAGCUCAAAAUGGGUGGUAAAUUUCAUCUAAAGCUAAAUAUUGGCCAGAGACCGAUAGCGCACAAGUAGAGUGAUCGAAAGAUGAAAAGCACUUUGGAAAGAGAGUUAAACAGUACGUGAAAUUGUUGAAAGGGAAGCGCUUGCAACCAGACUUGCGCGCGGCCGAUCAUCCGGUGUUCUCACCGGUGCACUCGGUCGCGCUCAGGCCAGCAUCGGUUUCGGUGGUUGGAUAAAGGCCCUAGGAAUGUAGCUUCUCUCGGGGAGUGUUAUAGCCUAGGGUGCAAUGCAGCCCACCGGGACCGAGGACCGCGCUUCGGCUAGGAUGCUGGCGUAAUGGUUGUAAGCGACCCGUCUUGAAACACGGACCAAGGAGUCUAACAUCUAUGCGAGUGUUUGGGUGUCAAACCCAUACGCGUAAUGAAAGUGAACGGAGGUGAGAACCCUUAAGGGUGCAUCAUCGACCGAUCCUGAUGUCUUCGGAUGGAUUUGAGUAAGAGCAUGGCUGUUGGGACCCGAAAGAUGGUGAACUAUGCCUGAAUAGGGUGAAGCCAGAGGAAACUCUGGUGGAGGCUCGCAGCGGUUCUGACGUGCAAAUCGAUCGUCAAAUUUGGCAUAGGGCGAAAGACUAAUCGAACCAUCUAGUAGCUGGUUCCUGCCGAAGU
rnacentral:rRNA from 1 species